rnacentral:rRNA from 1 species
CCUACGGGCGGCUGCAGUGGGGAAUAUUGCACAAUGGGCGCAAGCCUGAUGCAGCCAUGCCGCGUGUGUGAAGAAGGCCUUCGGGUUGUAAAGCACUUUCAGCGGGGAGGAAGGCGUUAAGGUUAAUAACCUUGGCGAUUGACGUUACCCGCAGAAGAAGCACCGGCUAACUCCGUGCCAGCAGCCGCGGUAAUACGGAGGGUGCGAGCGUUAAUCGGAAUUACUGGGCGUAAAGCGCACGCAGGCGGUCUGUCAAGUCGGAUGUGAAAUCCCCGGGCUCAACCUGGGAACUGCAUUCGAAACUGGCAGGCUAGAGUCUUGUAGAGGGGGGUAGAAUUCCAGGUGUAGCGGUGAAAUGCGUAGAGAUCUGGAGGAAUACCGGUGGCGAAGGCGGCCCCCUGGACAAAGACUGACGCUCAGGUGCGAAAGCGUGGGGAGCAAACAGGAUUAGAUACCCGUGUAGUC